UACAGAGGUCUCAAGCGUUGUUCGGAUUCAUUGGGCGUAAAGGGUGCGUAGGCGGCGCGGUAAGUCGGGUGUGAAAUCCCGGGGCUCAACCCCGGAACUGCAUCCGAUACUGCCGUGCUAGAGGAUUGGAGAGGUAGCUGGAAUUCUUGGUGUAGCAGUGAAAUGCGUGGAGAUCAAGAGGAACACUCGUGGCGAAAGCGAGCUACUGGACAAUUCCUGACGCUGAGGCUCGAAGGCUAGGGUAGCGAAAGGG
rnacentral:rRNA from 1 species